rnacentral:lncRNA from 11 species
CAGCAUCCCCAUCCCAACUCUGCUCUCACUUCUGCUGUCUGCUGUCUGCUCUUCGCCCUGCCUGCUUCCCCCUCCUCUCUCUCUCUCUCUCUCUCUCUCUCUCUCUCUCUCUCUCUCUCUCUCUCUCUCUCUCUCACACACACACACACACACACACACACACACACACACACACACACACUUUUUGUUUACCACACAGAGCUUGUUGGUGCCUUGGGAGCUACGUGGCAAGGCAGGCAGAAGCUGAUUCAGGCAUUAGCCAGAGACAGAUGUGUGUGCAGCAAGGCAGCAAGAUAAUAGACAAAUAACGCUGGCUCUGGGAGAAGAGAGGAGAGUCCAAGGGUAAGUUCAGCUCUGUUAUUCAUCAGCUGUGGCAGUAGAAGGGGCAAAGGGGACUCUCCAAUGCAGAUAAAGGAGCUGUAUUUGAUACCCUUUCUUCCUCUUUUCCUCUCUCCCCUCUCUUUUUCAUCAGAAGCUGAAUGCUAAGAAAAGAGUGUUGUAUGAAGCUGGUUGGUGGAAACUAUCAGGAUCUUUCUAUUUUGGAUGCUCAGUAGAAGGGAGGGAAAAUGUGAAAGGGGGAAGGAUACUACAUCAGCUGGGAAAAAUUAUGGGUGACUGACAAGAAAGUUCAGUUGUGAAGCUCCAGACUAGCUGGCUAAAUUUGAAGUUGAACUGAAAUACAUAUAGGUUAUAUUCUUAUUAUUCUUGCAGCAUAAAGAAAUCCAGGUGUGCUAUUCCCCCAUCUGAGGAGAUGAGG